AGGGGGGCUGUGUGGUCCGCGGAGGAGACAGGACUGCCCAUGUGGUCAGAGUGGUGGGGGCAUGGCUACCAGUGCAGUCAGUGGGUGGUGGGGACUGGGGAACCAGUGCGGUUGGGGUCAGGGUGCCAGUGUGGUCAGUGCGGGGGGAGCAGGGUGCCAGUGUGGUCAGCAGGUGGUGGGGCAGCUCUGGGUAGCACUGGCUGAGGCUAUUUCUUUUGGUGGGUCCCAUACCACAGGCUGUUGGGGGGAGGUGGGGGCACCUGCUGCUGCGGCACUGUCUGGAUAGGUAUUUGUUCUUCAGGUCUCCCUCAAUGAGUGAUCCUAGCUGUAAAUGAGUGGCUACUUUGGAACUGGCCUUUGACGUGUGGAAACCAGGCGACGGACAUUGUGCCCAGGGUUGUACUCAUUGUCAGCUUGGGAAGUGGUGCUGUGUCUGCAACAGUGGUACGUCCUUACCUGUGCUCUCUGAAAGUUACAUUUGAAAACCGAUGUCUUGGCUUUGUGAAAGGGACUUGCUCCUUUAUUACAGCUAAACCUAUGAUGUUUGUGCAUUGUCAGUAUUCUUCAGUUGAUAUGUGCCCUGGAAGUCCUUUUGUGCAGGUAUAUCUUCACAUGAUUUUGGAAACAGCAAGCCUAUGUCUUUGUUAUCUUGAAGGUAUAUAGUGUUUUUUAUAUUUUGAUAUGAAUUAUUUUAAAAUUGCAUUUGCAUUCUGAUUAUAUUUUUAAAACCAGUAAGUGAUUAAUAUAAAAUAGUCUGUGCUGUUGACUGUGAUCUGACAUGGCAUCUCGUCAAACUAUUUGCUGCAACUGCUUUCUGUUUUAGUGUAAUGACAGUCUGCAUUUUGUUCUGAUUUAGACUUCUUAUGCACUAAAAAAUAUCAUGUACUUUAGGAAAAUAAAUUUACUUGAUCUUGUGUAACUUAAUCUUGUAUAACUUAAUCUUGUAUAGAUUCAAUUUUUUCUUAAACAUUGACACUGCUUGGUGAAGUAUAUAAUAUAAAAAGUAUGAAUAUCAAAUGUAAUAUGGGGGGAUUUCUAUCUUGACUGAUUAUAAAAAUAUUUUUAAAAUGUCUUUAAGUCUUGCACUUCUAAUUUAAAGUAAUUCUUACAAUUGAACAUGCCUAGUCAUGAAUUUGUUUGUUAGGACAGCAGGAUUGAGUAAUUGCAGAAAAUCAAGUCUUUGAUGGCAGAAUGUUCAUUGCCCAUUUCUGGUAGAAUCUAAGAAACUGUAGAAGCUAGCUUGAAGUCAAGUAGGUUUGUAUUUGCUGUCCCCACAAAAAAAGCCAAGAAUUCUUUUCAUUGAUACAUUGAGGAAGUUCGACCUAAAAAUAAACACAUUUUGCUGGUAUGAAGUUGCACUCCAAUCUGUGAAUUUCAGAAUAUGGCAAAAUAUAAAAUGGAUGUAAAUUGUUGUAAACAAUGAAGACUCAGAUGCUAACAAUAUGAAGUUCUUAAUUUCUAAAUUUAAAUUUUUAAUUGUAAUGCAUGUUGAAGACUAGCAAUCAUGGAACCUUUUAACUGAUUUUUACUGAUACCACAAAAUAACCAUUCAAAGAAAUAGAAAAUGAAACACGUCUUUGAAUGAAACAUAAGAGAAAUGUUACAUCUGAAAAUUUGGUUGUAAGUUUAGGAAACUGAGGAAGUGUGAUAGAACAGUACAAAAAUUUCUAUGAUUUUAAGGAUUGAUAGAUGGUAAUGUGUUGUGAAAUUAAACGCAACACAAAUCAUUCUAACAUCUUGUGUACCAAAGGCUAUUUAAUACAGUAAAGUGAGACAAUCUAUUUUGUACAUAGAUCUUUAUUCCAAAAUAAAGAAUACUUUGCUAAAACACAAUCUGUGAAACUGUUGAUUUUGUAUGUCUCUGUUGCACUGUUUUAAACCUCUGCUCUUGUGCCAGAAACAUGGGAAAUAAACUCUUGGAACUGCAGAGCUCUUCUGGCUUUGGGUCCUGUUGGAGUCUCAUUUUAUUAAGAAACUACAGCUCUGCUAUAGGAAAGAGCACUGGAAAAUGUUGGACAUGUUCAGCACAUUUGCUUGCCGAUUUCCCCAGUUGCCAUGAGAGGUGUGGGUAGCAUAAACAAAAGACUUUCCUCCCUUAACAUUAAUUAAGAGGCAUAGAUGUAAGUCAAUUAGCAGAAAGAUGACAGGGUUCAAAAAAUUAGUGUAUGUGGAUGAGCACUUGCAGAGACUUAACCAAGAACUGGGAAGAGGGAUUAACCAAAGCUCCAUUUUUUGACUGGCAUAGUUAAAACAUA